GAUGAACGCUGGCGGCGUGCCUAAUACAUGCAAGUCGAGCGAACGGACGAGAAGCUUGCUUCUCUGAUGUUAGCGGCGGACGGGUGAGUAACACGUGGAUAACCUACCUAUAAGACUGGGAUAACUUCGGGAAACCGGAGCUAAUACCGGAUAAUAUUUUGAACCGCAUGGUUCAAAAGUGAAAGACGGUCUUGCUGUCACUUAUAGAUGGAUCCGCGCUGCAUUAGCUAGUUGGUAAGGUAACGGCUUACCAAGGCAACGAUGCAUAGCCGACCUGAGAGGGUGAUCGGCCACACUGGAGCUGAGACACGGUCCAGACUCCUACGGGAGGCAGCAGUAGGGAAUCUUCCGCACUGGGCGAAAGCCUGACGGAGCAACGCCGCGUGAGUGAUGAAGGUCUUCGGAUCGUAAAACUCUGUUAUUAGGGAAGAACAUAUGUGUAAGUAACUGUGCACAUCUUGACGGUACCUAAGCAGAAAGCCACGGUUAACUACGU
rnacentral:rRNA from 1 species